CGUACGAGCGCACCCUUGUCCUUAGUUGCCAACACAUAAUGGUGGGAACUCUAGGGAGACUGCCGGUGACAAACCGGAGGAAGGUGGGGACGACGUCAGGUCAUCAUGGCCCUUACGGCCUGGGCUACACACGUGCUACAAUGGGCGGUACAGAGGGCAGCGAAGUCGCGAGGCCAAGCAAAUCCCUUAAAACCGUUCGUAGUCCGGAUUGGAGUCUGCAACUCGACUCCAUGAAGUCGGAAUCGCUAGUAAUCGUGGAUCAGAAUGCCACGGUGAAUACGUUCCCGGGCCUUGUACACACCGCCCGUCACACCAUGGGAGUGGAUUGCACCAGAAGUAGUUAGUCUAACCUUCGGGAGGACGAUUACCACGGUGUGGUUCAUGACUGGGGUGAAGUCGUAACAAGGUAGCCGUAGGGGAACCUGCGGCUGGAUCACCUCCUU
rnacentral:rRNA from 1 species